GACGAACGCUGGCGGCGUGCUUAACACAUGCAAGUCGAACGGAAAGGCCCUGCUUUUGUGGGGUGCUCGAGUGGCGAACGGGUGAGUAACACGUGAGUAACCUGCCCUUGACUUUGGGAUAACUUCAGGAAACUGGGGCUAAUACCGGAUAGGAGCUCCUGCUGCAUGGUGGGGGUUGGAAAGUUUCGGCGGUUGGGGAUGGACUCGCGGCUUAUCAGCUUGUUGGUGGGGUAGUGGCUUACCAAGGCUUUGACGGGUAGCCGGCCUGAGAGGGUGACCGGCCACAUUGGGACUGAGAUACGGCCCAGACUCAUACGGGAGGCAGCAGUGGGGAAUAUUGCACAAUGGGAGGAAGCCUGAUGCAGCAACGCCGCGUGCGGGAUGACGGCCUUCGGGUUGUAAACCGCUUUCGCCUGUGACGAAGCGUGAGUGACGGUAAUGGGUAAAGAAGCACCGGCUAACUACGUG
rnacentral:rRNA from 1 species